rnacentral:lncRNA from 1 species
UCGCUUCCCCCUUCGUGGCCCCGCGAGCGGACCCUGAGCCCCGCGUGCGGCCGGACUCUGGGGUUGGGGGUCCUCGAACCUUUCGGGAGGACCCGCAGAGAUGUGCUGAAGGGAAAAGCACUUUGCCUAUGGGAAGCCCGCAGGACAUUUCAAAACUUCCGGUGUGUGGGGGGAGUGCUCGCGUGCUUGCUCGCUCGCUGCAGAAGUUGGCUGUAACUCCUGGGUUACACACAUCCUCCUUUUUCGAGAUAAGAUUUCGUGUAAUAACUUAGAUUUUUUUCCGUUAGGACACCUUUAAAACGUGUCUCGUCUCCCCAUCUCCUCUUGGGCCAGAGCUAGCAAGAAAUGGUGAACGAACUCAGAUGCGUUCCUGCAUAGAAAGAGCUUAGCAUGUGGCAGGCAAGCUCAGGAAAUUUCACUUGCAGUCAUGGUUAAUGACACUUUUCGGGUAGGGUACACAAAGAAAAAUUUAGGUCUAGUUGCCGUUCACUAGGCAUUUUGGCCCCACCCCGCAUGUCUUUUGCACUCAGGAGUGGUGGAGGCAAACCCAACCAGGAAUCAGUGUGUAAGAUCAGAACACCUGACUUGUCAGGAGGUAACUUGAACUUGGAAAGUGGCCUUCCUCACUUAAGACCUUGUGGAAUAUUAGCGUGAACGCUUAUUAAGAAGCUAAAUAGUCCGCAGCAGCCAAAACGGAUGGCAGAAAAUGUAUUUCUUGCAGGAAAGGCUCACUGAGCAACUCUAUUCGUUUUCCUUGUGAUUUGAACUUGUUCAGUUGUCUGGUUUCCCAGGCUGAAACUAGAGGCAGCAUAUUAGGAAAAGCCCUGGGUAGGCAUCCAAAUUGUAGCUAGUGAACACUGACAACCUAUUAAAGGAGAAAUUUCAAACUAUGUACAUAGUGUUUAAAAAAAUUUUUUUUAAUCCCUGUAUAUCCAUCCAGGGCCCUUUUCAAAAAGGGGCAUAUGUCUCUCUACUAAAUCCUAGUAAUUGAUGCUCAUAAUGAAUACUAGAACCCAUAAUUGUUUUCCAAAAUAAUGGCCUUUAAAUGUGGAGUGAAGAUUAAAUUGCACAGUAGGUUUAAGAGGGUGCAGACACAGAGACACUUUUUAGGGAAAAUCAUUCGAAAGUAACUAAGUUUUGGUGCUUAAUUGAUGUUUAGAAAAUUUAAGAGAAAUAUCCAUGUCCUAGUCUGGCUGGAUAAAUGAGAUGAUUUUAUAUUUGGUAUAUAUUUGAAUGUAUUUGUGUCAGAUUUUGUCUCCUGCUUGUAGGACCCUAAGAGGCAAACAAUUCAUUGUAGUAUAGUAGGUGUAAUUUGGAUGUAAAAUGCGGGCUCUACAGUAUUUUCUGAAGUUUGUGUUUUGUUGGUGACCUGGACCUUGUUGAUGUGUUUUUCCUCUAGAGUGUCUUAUUCUCAUACAGAUUGGGUCUUGCAGAGAAGAAACUAAUCCUGUCUUACAGUCAUGAUGUUUUUGU